rnacentral:rRNA from 1 species
AUUGAACGCUGGCGGCAGGCCUAACACAUGCAAGUCGAGCGAGCGGCGGGCGGGUGAGUAAUGUAUGGGGAUCUGCGCGAGAGAGGGGGAUAAAUACUGGACACUGUGGCUAAUACCGUAUUCUAUCGCAUGAACCCAUAUGGGAUUAGCUUGUGGGUGGGGUAAAGGCUCACCUAGGCGACGAUCUCUAGCUGGUCUGAGAGGAUGAUCAGCCACACUGGAACUGAGACACGGCCCAGACUCCUACGGGAGGCAGCAGUGGGGAAUAUUGCACAAUGGGCGCAAGCCUGAUGCAGCCAUGCCGCGUGUAUGAAGAAGGCCUUAGGGUUGUAAAGCACUUUCAGCGGGGAGGCGUUACCCGCAGAAGAAGCACCGGCUAACUCCGUGCCAGCAGCCGCGGUAAUAC